rnacentral:rRNA from 1 species
CCUACGGGUGGCAGCAGUGAGGAAUAUUGGUCAAUGGGCGCGAGCCUGAACCAGCCAAGUCGCGUGAGGGAAGACGGUCCUAUGGAUUGUAAACCUCUUUUGUCGGGGAGCAAAAGACGACACGCGUGGCGUUCCGAGAGUACCCGAAGAAAAAGCAUCGGCCAACUCCGUGCCAGCAGACGCGGUAAUACGGAGGAUGCGAGCGUUGUCCGGAUUUAUGGGGUUUGAAGGGUGCGCAGGCGGAAGAGUAAGUCAGCGGUAAAAUUGAGAGGCUCAACCUCUUCGAGCCGUUGAAACUGGUUUUCUUGAGUGAGCGAGAAGUAUGCGGAAUGCGUGGUGUAGCGGUGAAAUGCAUAGAUAUCACGCAGAACUCCGAUUGCGAAGGCAGCAUACCGGCGCUCAACUGACGCUCAUGCACGAAAGUGUGGGUAUCGAACAGGAUUAGAUACCCCAGUAGUC